AGCAAACGCGCAGGCGCAGGAGGCUUGUAGUUUUAUGCUGGUGUCGGGAGCCCCCGAUCGAGCAUGGGUUAAGCUCCCGAGUCUAUAAAAGGGGCGCCGGCGGGAAGGCGACUUCCUGUUUGCGCCUGACCAUCAGGCUCCAGAAGAGGAUUGCAUGCCAAAAGAGUUGGAGAAAAUCCCAAAUGCCCAUCCCUUGAAUGAGAGACAGCCACGGAAAUAAACAGACCAGACUUCAGACUGAAGAAGACGCAAUGAUUCAUUGCACAAAGCUUUUUUGUCCUCCUCCUGGUCUAAGAAUAUAUGUGUUGACUUACGUUUCCCAUGAUUUUUUAAAAAUGUAACCAGUCCUGAGUGUUUAGCUUUCAAGAUGCAAUGUAUAAAUGUAAUAAACUUUGUUUGAAUAUAUAUAUACAUAUACAUA